rnacentral:lncRNA from 1 species
AUGGCUGCAAGCUUUACCCAGAGACACAGCAAGCUGGACUCUGCCAGGAGGCCUUUGGGUACAGCCAGCAGGAAAGAUGAACCCGGGCUCCUGGCAUCCUGGACCCUUCCUGACACGGCACAGCCAUCCAGGAAAGUGAUUUGCUUAAGGAUAGUUGAUGAAGAAAUGAAACUUUGGGACAAGAAGUUUGUCACUUGCUUGAGAGUCCCCUGACCUACCUUAUAUGAAGAACACGUGUGAAGGCAACUGUUCUAGACUACGGGUGGGAGCAUCAGUGCUUUGACGAUACCCAGAUGGCACAGCGGCUGCUACAAUUCAGGUAUGUGAACUUUCUACGCAGGUGACUGACAAAAGUAGAUUCUGAGAAGCAAACGGGGUGAAAAGUUCUGAAUAGCUUCCAUUUGCCCCAGUGGACCCACUUUCUCUACCUUUGAGUCUAGUAACAUUAAUCAAUAUGAACUACAUCAGUGGGAUUCCUUGCCUUGUGGCCUUUGGUUGGGUUUGGUCAAUGGGGACCCUAGGCAUGAAAUCAGAAGGAUGAAAGAAGGGGACGUCUAGCUCUGGCUAUUU